rnacentral:rRNA from 1 species
AUUGAACGCUGGCGGCAGGCCUAACACAUGCAAGUCGAACGAGUGGCGGACGGGUGAGUAAUGUCUGGGAACCUGCCUAAUGGAGGGGGAUAACUACUGGAAAGGGUAGCUAAUACCGCAUACCAUCGGAUGUGCCCUGAUGGGCUUAGCUAUUAGGUGGGGUAAUGGCUCACCUAGGCGACGAGCCCUAGCUGGUCUGAGAGGAGGAUCAGCCGCACUGGGACUGGGACACGGCCCAGACUCCUACGGUAGGCAGCAUUGGGGAAUAUUGGACAAUGGGGGCAAGCCUGAUGCAGCCAUGCCGCGUGUAUGAAGAAGGCCCUGGGGUUGUAAAGUACUUUUAGUGGGGAGACGUUACCGACAGAAGAAGCACCGGCUAACUCCGUGCCAGCAGCCGCGGUAAUUC